rnacentral:lncRNA from 1 species
CACUCUUCCAUUCCAGAAGUGAAGGCAUUCUCAAGAAAGGAAAGUCUGAAAAUUCAACAUUCGGUUACCUUUGCCCUGAUUGCUGUGUAAGUCCUGAAAUCAGCCUCCUUCUGGCUUUGGGUGUUCUGUAACUCUGACAUGGACCAGGAACAGAAGAAUCUUGAAAUGAAUCAGACUCUUAAGGAAACCUCUACUCAAAGAAAACUUUAAAGAAUCCAGCCCCCCAAGUGUUUGCCCUGGAAGCCCUCCCCAGCCCCCUGGAAGAAGACCACUCUCUCACUCUGAAUGAUGUCCUAUUUGAGUUUGGUAAUGCAGAGCCAAGAUUUGAACAGCCAGGGCCAUCUAGAGAGGCGGUGUGGAGCUGGGAAUAGACCGACAGAUGCAGAUGGGAGAGACUUAGACUCAGGCUAA